UUUUGGACAAUGGGGGCAACCCUGAUCCAGCCAUGCCGCGUGAGUGAAGAAGGCCUUCGGGUUGUAAAGCCCUUUCGGCGGGGAAGAUAAUGACGGUACCCGCAGAAGAAGCCCCGGCUAACUUCGUGCCAGCAGCCGCGGUAAUACGAAGGGGGCUAGCGUUGCUCGGAAUCACUGGGCGUAAAGCGCACGUAGGCGGCUUUCUAAGUCAGGGGUGAAAUCCUGGAGCUCAACUCCAGAACUGCCUUUGAUACUGGGAAGCUUGAGUUCGGGAGAGGUGAGUGGAACUGCGAGUGUAGAGGUGAAAUUCGUAGAUAUUCGCAAGAACACCAGUGGCGAAGGCGGCUCACUGGCCCGAUACUGACGCUGAGUGCGAAA
rnacentral:rRNA from 1 species